AUGGACGGUUGUAGAGCAAAUUCAGGAGGCAAUACAAACCGAUGGCGUAUCAUGUGGAUUGUUCAUGCUAACUUAUAUGGAAUACUGGACACCACAUGGACUGUCAAACUAGUUUACGCAGGAGGAUAUGAAACAUUUUCGACAAAACUAGCAAUUAUUUUGCUCGAUUCAGAGCUUAAUAAGUUAAAAAGAUGUCCCAUGUACCAUCAACCUGUCAACAAAGAAACUUUAGCUAAUUCUGAUCUUGAGAUCCUGGAUAAUCCAUCUGACGUGGUCGAAGAGAAACGUCCCGCCCCAAUCACUAUCAUUCUCACGGACCAACGUGAAAUACUUGCCGGCCUCUGCAACUACAUCAUGUCGAUUAAUGAUGCUGGAUCUUUGGAGAAGGUAUGGGUCCGGAGCUCCACACCCGAUCCAAUGAGCUUAAGUCUUAAGAAACUUCAGAGCAUACUUAACAUGGAGCAGCCCAUGGACAAUGAUUGCUUCAACACGGCCGUGCUUAUGCUGACAUGUGACGAGAGAGUAUUGUUCACAGACCCUCCUAUACACUACAUGGAUCUACGAUUUUGUUCCAUCCUGCUAGAGUCAACACGAGGUCAGAAGUUUUGUGAGAAGGAAACUAUCCAGACGUUGGCAACAUUAUUUGAUAGCUGGCCUGGGAUGGAGACCGACAUCUCAUCUUGCAAUAAGGAAUGUGUCUGGCUAUUUUGUUUUUCAUUUCAUGCUCUGGUGGAACGGAUGGGGCUAGUUUUUCAAGAUAGGGAGCUGAAAGUGGAGAAGGGUAUUUUGGUGCCCAUGCUCAUCUGCACCCGGGCGGGUGUAGAUGAGCUCAGAGCCGAGGACAUGGUAAAAUUCAGGAACACUGGGCCAGUGCACCCUCUCGCAACGGCGUUGACGGCGUCAGAAAAUCUUGGAUCAUACACCGUUGCAGCACUGGAAGCUUUUUCAGCUGCAAAUGGGGAGCAGAAACACACUCACGCACACACAUUUGCAUUUCCGGAGGCCACAAUCUGA
rnacentral:rRNA from 1 species